ACCUCCUCCGCCUCCUUCUCCGGCUCCGGACCUCCGCCUCGGCCUGCGCCUGCCCAAAAGCGUCGCUGGCCAUCUGCCUCUAUCAUCUCGGUCUCGUUCCCGAGCGGCACCAGGCUCCCCGCCGCUGACCGGGCGUUGUCCCUGACGCUGGCCCGCUCGGUCGCGAGGGAGAUCUCGGCGGACUUGGGCGGGGUCGACGGCGCGGCGAAGAAGGAGAGGCCUGCUGCAUUUUCUCUCUCUUUUUUUCAAUGGAGCGCGCGCUAUUUCUUCCCGCUUCUGCCUCUCUCUUCCUCAAGCACUCCUCUCCUCUCUGUCCCGAGCCCUCUCACUCACUCCAAGCGCCCCUUCUUCCUCUGUCUCGAGCCCUCUCACUCACCCUAAGCGCUUCCCUCCUCGCCUCUGUCCUCGUCGCCGUCAUCGACUUUCCAGCCGCGGCUCCAGAAAUCGCCGGCUGCCGACUGGCCUCUCGAACUUCUUUGUCUUUUACUCCUUAUUCGGUCCCGAUUUCGGGCUCGAGUACGUAGCCAAGGAUUUUGAAGGAAAAGGGGUUUGCGAGGCUAGAUAUACUGGUGGCGGACGGCGAGAGCACGAUCGACCUGAGUCGUUACUCUUUGCUCGGUGAUUUCAGGCUCGACGUCGAAGCAGAGAAGGAGGAAGAACAAGAACGAGAUGAAGGAGAAGAAGGAGAAGAUGGGUCCUUGCUUUUCUACUUCUGGGUUUAUCUCUUGAAGUCCGCCACUUUCCCUUGUACCAUUUUCCGUCAGGUCUCAAGUGAACUUUUACGGCUUCACAACUUUUACGGCUUCACAUUGACGGGGAAGUGGUGGAUGAGAAGCCCCUAAGUGCCUCAAAAGAUGGAGAAUCUAGGCCUUUAAGGAAAAUAUUUGAGAAUCUAGGCCUUUAAGGAAAAUAAGUUUGGUUAGUACCAGUGGAACUGAUGAUGGCAUAAAAGGUUAUUUAUACAGUCCAAAGGUCUUGCACCCUUCUUCAUCCAUUGAGGAUCAUUAUAAGGACUCACCUGUACACUUAGCUAUUGACAAUUCAUCUGCUUCUGACAUAGAAGAAGGUAGUGAUGGUAUCUGGAGUACUGUGGGUGGAAAGGCUAAGGAUAGUUUCGGGACUCGCCCAGACGUGAUAUUGAAGAAUAUUGAAACUGCAGAGAAACUUUUUUCAGAUUCUGAACGUACUAAAAUGCGAAAUUCAAAUUCCAAGAGUAUGCCAAGUGUUGGAAAAGCAGUUCCAGAUUCUUUCACAUUUAGUUACUGCUUGGCAGGCCCACAUGAGAGGGCUCUUCUGCUGAAGAAGUUUGCAGCAUCUGCUUCAG